rnacentral:rRNA from 1 species
UACGUAGGGGGCGAGCGUUGUCCGGAUUUAUUGGGCGUAAAGAGCUCGUAGGCGGUUCGAUAAGUCGGACGUGAAAUCUCCACGCUCAACGUGGAGGGGCCGUUCGAUACUGUCGUGACUCGAGUCCGGUAGGGGAGUGUGGAAUUCCCGGUGUAGCGGUGAAAUGCGCAGAUAUCAGGAGGAACACCAAUGGCGAAGGCAGCUCGCUGGGACGGUACUGACGCUGAGGCGCGAAAGCGUGGGGAGCAAACAGG